GUGCUCACUUUGACAGCAUAUAUACUAAAAUUGGAAUGAUACAGAGAUUAGCAUGGCCUCUCUGCAGGGAUGACAUGCAAAUUAAUGAAAUUUUUCACAUUUUU